UUCUAUACAGACAUACCUCCUGUUAUUGCACUUCGCAGAUACUGCAGGGGUUUUUUCGGGUUUUGUUUUUUGUUUUUUUACAAAUUGAAGGUCUGUGGCAACCCUGCGUUGUCAGAUGAUGGUUAGCAUUUAAAGUUUUUUUUUUUUUUAAAGAAGAUGUUGGGGGUAGGAGUUUAUUAAUUUAUUUAUUUUUGCUGUGUUGGGUCUUCGUUUCUGUGCGAGGGCUUUCUUUAAUUGCGGCGAGCGGGGGCCUCUCACUAUCGCGGCCUCUCACUAUUGUGGCCUCUCUUAUUGCGGAGCACAGGCUCCAGAUUCGCAGGCUCAGUAGUUGUGGCUCAUGGGGCCUAGUUGCUCCACAGCAUGUGGGAUCUUCCCAGACCAGGGCUCGAACCCGUGUCCUCUGCAUUAGCAGGCAGAUUCUCAACCACUGCGCCACCAGGGAAGCCCUAAAGUAUUUUUAAAUUAAGGUAUAUACAUUGUUUUUUUUUAGGCACAAUGCGAUUGCACACUUAGUAGACUAUAGUGUAAACAUAAGUGUUAUAAACACCGGGAAAUCAAAAAAUUCAUGUGACUUUAUUGUGAUAUUUGCUUUGUUGUGGUAGUCUGGAACUGAACACACAAUAUCUUGGAGGGAUGACUGUACAUUGGGGGAAAGGCUUGUGUCCAUUAGGGCUUAGAAAUCUAUCCCAGAAGCAAUUGGGUAAAUACCUCAUCCAGUUUCCCCCAGCCUUUCUGGUCCAUGGUAGACGUUGCUCAUGGAUUCUGGCAUUCUCCCUGCCAAGCCUUCCGGGCAACCUGGUGUUCCCAGGCCCUCACUGUGGUUGACUCAGAGUUGGUGAACAGGUGCCAUAUCCCAGACAAACUGGGACACCCGCCCCCGUUUCCCAAGCCCCCCACCUCCCCAGUGCUCCGCAAGAGCCUGUGGUCCAGGGAAAGAGGGCCUAGACAUUGGGAAGAGACUCUCCGCCCACCACCCCCCUCCAGGUGUGCAACAGCAGGCAGGUCACUUAACUCCUUCGAACCUCCGGUUUCCUCACCUGUAAGAUGGGUGGAUGUGAGGAUCACAUGAGAUCAUAGAUGUCAGGUUGCCCAUGGGAAGUGGUGGCCACCUCUGCCCACCUACCUGUGUCCUCGUUCCUCCUUAGUAGUUGGUGGUUCUUCCAUACACCACCCUGCCACCCCACGAGCAACUCUCAGGUCCACUCAUGUAUCUCUUUGGAUUCGGGAACCUCAGACCCACUAAUGCCUGUGGCCUUUCUCUACCUGCUUAAACAAGAGUUGUCUCUCCUUCAUGUGAAGGAAAAAAGUAGUGUGUUUGGAUUUUAAAAGAAACUGUUGGGAAUCACUUCACUUUUUUUUGUUUAUUUUUGCCGUGCCAUGUGGUAUGUGGGAUAUUAGUUCCCUGACCAGGGAUCGAAUUUGCACCCCCUGUAUUGGAAGUGCAGAGUUUUAACCACUGGACCUCCAGGGAAGUCUGGGAAUCACUUUUAAAUAAUUCUACUGUAGUAGGAAGAUCAUGAGGUGAAUUCUCCUAACACCAUCAAGGCCAGUCGAGUUUUCGCAGGUUUUUCAUAGUGUAUAUGUUUUUGAUGCAGAAGUUAUCUCUGUGACUCACUUCUGCCAGAAUUUGUCCUGUUCUGUCUUGUGGUUUGGGAGGCCCUGUGUCUCCACUUGCUCCUGGCAGAUUGACAGCAUGGGGCCUUGCGGCGCUCUUUGUCUGCCGGUGGUGUCUUGUCUCCCUUCUGUACUUUUCCGGGUUAUGAUGCUGCUGUUCCAGUCUGGGCAGCCACCUCCUGCCACGCCACUAUGGCCCUUGAAACUAAACUGCCAUGUUUUCCACUUUCUAGACCAUUUAAAGGCUGACGUUGGUCUUCUUUUCGUUGCAAAAGCUGCCUAACAAUAGGCCAGUAGCCAAGGUGUUCAAUGGACAUUUCAUGGCCUUUGUCAUCCUCAGACUGCUAACAUCAUUCAGAGGUGGAAUGGACUUCUAAAAAAUCAACUCAGCAAAGAUCUCUACCUCUUCCUGAUCCAACAGUGCAGCCUGCCAAUCCCUCACCUGGUCCGCCUGAGCCCUGCAGCAGGCAGUGUGACGCAUAGACGCAGCCAGUCCUGAACCAUUCUGCUAUACCCAGUGCCAUCAGCAGCAACGCCUGAAUGUGGGCCCCACCCAUAGACGUUUACAAACACAUGGACCUGCUCAGCUUUGUUCUAAUCUGGCUGAUAAAAGCACACACUUCUGAUGCCAAGCAGCUCUGGGCUAUGCCAUGUAUGGCAAUUGAGGCCACAGCUACUCAUGGCACUGCCCAUGUGGCUUAACCAAACCAGUGCAGUGGUGUUCCAAGUCAAGUUUAAUAACAAGUCCUGAACUGGAGUGCCUUGUGCCCAGUACUCUGUGUGUUUGCAUGUGGGAAAGAACAAGUCACAAUGUCUCUCCAUUGGGCAUGAGGGCCUGCUCUGGGGCCUUGUAAUUAUCGGCCGUGACACCAAAGAUCAACAGGUCAGUCUGAACUCCCUUGUGGGCUUCCUAAUGGAUAAGAGACUAGCCUUUGAUUACAUCCUGGCUGUCUGAAAUAAGCCCUGCAUGGUCACAGCUUGAUGAGUCCAGGACACUGGAUGGCAGGUUGGCCUCAUCAACAGGAGUCACUGCUACUUGGAGUCCUGCUGACAGUAAUUAAAUGCCGUCUGAGACAAA